rnacentral:rRNA from 1 species
AAUAUUGCGCAAUGGGGGAAACCCUGACGCAGCAACGCCGCGUGAAGGAUGAAGGUUUUCGGAUCGUAAACUUCUUUGAUUGGGGACGAAUAAAUGACGGUACCCAAAAAACAAGCCACGGCUAACUACGUGCCAGCAGCCGCGGUAAUACGUAGGUGGCGAGCGUUGUCCGGAAUUACUGGGUGUAAAGGGCGUGUAGGCGGGAAUGUAAGUCAGAUGUGAAAUGCCGGAGCUUAACUCCGGAGCUGCAUCUGAAACUAUAUUUCUUGAGUACUGGAGAGGAAAGCGGAAUUCCUAGUGUAGCGGUGAAAUGCGUAGAUAUUAGGAGGAACACCAGUGGCGAAGGCGGCUUUCUGGACAGUAACUGACGCUGAGGCGCGAAAGCGUGGGGAGCAAACAGG